UACGGAGGAUGCAAGCGUUGUUCGGAAUCACUGGGCUUAAAGAGCGUGUAGGUGGGGUGUCAGGCGUCGGGUGAAAUCCCUCGGCUCAACCGAGGAACUGCCUGGCGAACCGACAUUCUUGAGGCAGGUAGAGGUGGCUGGAACGACGGGUGGAGCGGUGAAAUGCGUAGAUAUCCGUUGGAACGCCGGCGGCGAAAGCGAGCCACUGGGCCUGUCCUGACACUGAGACGCGAAAGCGUGGGGAGCAAACAGG
rnacentral:rRNA from 1 species